rnacentral:rRNA from 1 species
GACGAACGCUGGCGGCGUGCUUAACACAUGCAAGUCGAACGGAAAGGCCCUGCUUUUGUGGGGUGCUCGAGUGGCGAACGGGUGAGUAACACGUGAGUAACCUGCCCUUGACUUUGGGAUAACUUCAGGAAACUGGGGCUAAUACCGGAUAGGAUCUCCUGCUGCAUGGUGGGGGUUGGAAAGUUUCGGCGGUUGGGGAUGGACUCGCGGCUUAUCAGCUUGUUGGUGGGGUAGUGGCUUACCAAGGCUUUGACGGGUAGCCGGCCUGAGCGGGUGACCGGCCCCAUUGGGACUGAGAUACGGCCCAGACUACUACGGGAGGCAGCAGUGGGGAAUAUUGCACAAUGGGCGGAAGCCUGAUGCAGCAACGCCGCGUGCGGGAUGACGGCCUUCGGGUUGUAAACCGCUGUCGCCUGUGACGAAGCGUGAGUGACGGUAAUGGGUAAAGAAGCACCGGCUAACUACGUG